GUGCCAGCCGCCGCGGUAAUACGGAGGGUGCAAGCGUUGUUCGGAAUUAUUGGGCGUAAAGAGGGUGUAGGCGGCUUCGUGUGUCUGAUGUGAAAGCCCAGUGCUCAACACUGGAAGUGCAUUGGAAACUGCGUCGCUUGAAUCUCGGAGAGGGUGGUGGAAUUCCUGGUGUAGAGGUGAAAUUCGUAGAUAUCAGGAGGAACACCGGUGGCGAAGGCGACCACCUGGACGAUGAUUGACGCUGAGACCCGAAAGCGUGGGGAGCAAACAGGAUUAGAUACCCUGGUAGUCCACGCCGUAAACGAUGGAUACUAGUUGCUGCGAGAGAUGACACUUGCGGUGACGUAGCUAACGCAUUAAGUAUCCCGCCUGGGGAGUACGGCCGCAAGGCUGAAACUCAAAGGAAUUGACGGGG
rnacentral:rRNA from 1 species